rnacentral:rRNA from 1 species
UAAUACGUAGGGGGCAAGCGUUGUCCGGAUUUAUUGGGCGUAAAGAGCGUGUAGGCGGCCAGACAGGUCCGUUGUGAAAACUCGAGGCUCAACCUCGAGACGUCGAUGGAAACCGUCUGGCUAGAGUCCGGAAGAGGAGAGUGGAAUUCCUGGUGUAGCGGUGAAAUGCGCAGAUAUCAGGAGGAACACCCGUGGCGAAAGCGGCUCUCUGGGACGGUACUGACGCUGAGACGCGAAAGCGUGGGGAGCAAACAGGAUUAGAUACCCUGGUAGUCCACGCCGUAAACGAUGGGUGCUAGGUGUGGGCGGUGUCGACUCCGUCCGUGCCGAAGCUAACGCAUUAAGCACCCCGCCUGGGGAGUACGGCCGCAAGGCUA